CUGGCUUCAAUGCUUUGUUUCAGAGGGCUGUGGAGCUCCUGCCUAAUACACUUCCGUUUCACGGUUUGAUCUUGAGAGAGGUGGGCAGACUUCAUGAAGGGAGAGAAGAUAAGACUCCAAUAACUAGCACAGUGCUUCACACAUGCCACCAUGAACUGUUACUCUCUGCUAUGAGCCAUUCUGCUUUGGAGCCAGUGAAGUAUGGACUGAAACCUCCAUAAACAGUAA